rnacentral:rRNA from 1 species
GCACAACGCGAAGAACCUUACCUACUCUUGACAUCCAGAGAACUUUCCAGAGAUGGAUUGGUGCCUUCGGGAACUCUGAGACAGGUGCUGCAUGGCUGUCGUCAGCUCGUGUUGUGAAAUGUUGGGUUAAGUCCCGCAACGAGCGCAACCCUUAUCCUUUGUUGCCAGCGGUUCGGCCGGGAACUCAAAGGAGACUGCCAGUGAUAAACUGGAGGAAGGUGGGGAUGACGUCAAGUCAUCAUGGCCCUUACGAGUAGGGCUACACACGUGCUACAAUGGCGUAUACAAAGAGAAGCGACCUCGCGAGAGCAAGCGGACCUCAUAAAGUACGUCGUAGUCCGGAUUGGAGUCUGCAACUCGACUCCAUGAAGUCGGAAUCGCUAGUAAUCGUAGAUCAGAAUGCUACGGUGAAUACGUUCCCGGGUCUUGUACACACCG